rnacentral:rRNA from 1 species
ACCUGCAUUAUUUGACGUUACCUACAGAAGAAGCACCGGCUAACUCCGUGCCAGCAGCCGCGGUAAUACGGAGGGUGCGAGCGUUAAUCGGAAUUACUGGGCGUAAAGCGCAUGCAGGCGGCCUGUUAAGUCAGAUGUGAAAGACCCGGGGCGUUAACCUCGGAAUUGCAUUUGAAACUGGCAGGCUAGAGUCUUGUAGAGGGGGGUAGGAAUUUCAGGUGUAGCGGUGAAAUGCGUAGAGAUCUGAAGGAAUACCAGUGGCGAAGGCGGCCCCCUGGACAAAGACUGACGCUCAGAUGCGAAAGCGUGGGGAGCAAACAGGAUUAGAUACCCUGGUAG